ACAAGCCUGAGAAACGGCUAGUAGGACUAAGGUCUGCAGCAGGCGCGAAACUUACACAAUGCUAGAUUAAAAUUAGCGAUGUAGUGAAGAAAAAUAACGAUGUACUUACACUUAACGUGUUAGUAUAAUUGGAAUGAGACGACUAUAAAUGAGUUAGUCGAGUAACAAAUGGAGGGCAAGUCUGGUGCCAGCAGCCGCGGUAAUUCCAGCUCCAUUAGCAUACAUUAAAGUUGUUGCGGUUAAAAAGCUCGUAGUUGAAUUUUACGCGGGCUCUAUUGGGAUGCAGUCGUUAAGGCUGGCGGAAGGAAGUGACUCGUUCGCGAGUAUCGUCCCCAUCAUGCUGACUGUAUCGCCCAUUAGGAACCCGCUGUUUCGUCACUUCAUUGAGUGCGAAGCGGGCUGGAACAAGGUUUCACUGGUCCGUCCAGUGGCCUGUUACAGCAUGUUUACCUUGAGAAAAUUAGAGUGCUCACAGCAGGCAGUUGGGGUGUAAAAGCUCCUUUAUGCUUGAAUAAUGUUGCAUGGAAUAAUAGAAUACGGCCUCGGUUCUAUUCUGUUGGUCUUAUAGAACAACAAACAAGUUGGUUAAAGCGAUCAAAAGUCUAUUCUAGGUGUGGCUUUAGAGGCCCUCGGACUUGUGCGAGUGCACCAGCUUCCGCUAUGUUGGUUGUGUUGCCUGGGGCCUUAAAAUCCCAGUGCCGCGCCGCAUACGGUUGCUCGCUCCUCGCCGACCAAGGUAGCCACUACAAGUCAUCUAAAGCACCUCCAAUAUGGCUAGCUUUCUAAUCAACUGAGGCAAUGGUUAAAAGAAAUAGUCGCGGCGGCAUCAGUACUGCAUCGUGAGAG
rnacentral:rRNA from 1 species